CCAUCGGGAUGGUUUUGUGUGAAGGUAAAAUCACGUUAAACAACUACCAUGAAGGAUAGAAAAGAACCAACAAACGAGUAAUAAAAGAGAAAGAUAGAUUGUUACCAAUACAGAUUUCGUAGAACAUCUUUUCUGCAAGUAUCACAAAUAUAUAAUAUCGAGGUCUUGAGGCACUGGAGAGAAAUCAUCUUGAAAAAGAUAGAGAAUCUAGAUCUGGUAUCUAUACAGGUUGACUGUCCAGUUGUGAGAAUUUUGAAAUAAUAUAAUGUCGAGAAAUUGUGUGUACGUACGUGAGAUUGAAUUUUUAAAAAGCCUUGCAAGGACAAGGACAAGGACAAAAAUAAAUGUGAGAAAAAAAAAAAAUACUUUGAACUUGGAUGAAAACAGUACAGAAGAAAAUUUAACACUUGGAUAAUAUCUUACGUGAAUGGAUGAAAUAAAUUUGCAAUUAACAAUUACGUAUAUU